CCUACGGGUUGCACCAGUGGGGAAUAUUGCACAAUGGGCGCAAGCCAGAUGCAGCCAUGCCGCGUGUAUGAAGAAGGCCCUAGGGUUGUAAAGUACUUUCAGUCGGGAGGAAGGCGUUGAUGCUAAUAUCAUCAACGUUUGACGUUACCGACAGAAGAAGCACCGGCUAACUCCGUGCCAGCAGCCGCGGUAAUACGGAGGGUGCAAGCGUUAAUCGGAAUUACUGGGCGUAAAGCGCACGCAGGCGGUUGAUUAAGUUAGAUGUGAAAUCCCCGGGCUUGACCUGGGAAUGGCAUCUAAGACUGGUCAGCUAGAGUCUUGUAGAGGGGGGUAGAAUUCCAUGUGUAGCGGUGAAAUGCGUAGAGAUGUGGAGGAAUACCGGUGGCGAAGGCGGCCCCCUGGACAAAGACUGACGCUCAGGUGCGAAAGCGUGGGGAGCAAACAGGAUUAGAUACCCCAGUAGU
rnacentral:rRNA from 1 species